rnacentral:misc_RNA from 1 species
GAUGAAGAACGCAGCGAAAUGCGAUACUUGGUGUGAAUUGCAGAAUCCCGUGAACCAUCGAGUCUUUGAACGCAAGUUGCGCCCGAAGCCAUUAGGCCGAGGGCACGCCUGCCUGGGCGUCACACGUCGUUGCCCCCCCAUCUACUCCUUCGGGAUUGCGGGGGGCGGAUGAUGGCCUCCCGUGCGCCUCGUCGCGCGGUUGGCAUAAAAUGCCAAGUCCUCGGCGACGCACGCCACGACAAUCGGUGGUUGCGAAACCUCGGUUGCCCGUCGUGUGCGGUCGUCGCGCAUCGAGGGCUCGAAAAAAUUGCCGGGCUCCGGCUCGGCUUUCAACGCGACCCCAGGUCAGGCGGGGUUACCCGCUGAAUUUAAGCAUAUCAAUAAGCGGAGGA